CUUUCGCACUGCGUUCGAAAACCAAUGGCCCACCACAUCUUCCCCUUCUUCCCAGAAGAUGGGUUCUUCUUGACUAGCGUGUUGAUGUUUCGCGAAGCGGAUUCCUGACGUUGCUUCCAAGGUUUCGCACUCAGUUACCACGUUGUUCACGUGCAUGUUGUGAAUGUGAACAGGGCUGCUGCGCGGAGUACACAUGCUUGACUUGGACUCGGAUGGAUGACGACUGGAAGGAUCGUGCAUCAUAUGCUACACAUGGGCCUCCGACCAACGGAUGCUUGAAUGAAGAAGCAAAAGGAAGCUGAUUUGAUUCUAUCUACGAAAAUGUCGCUCGGUUUCGAGUGACCGUUAUAAAUUCUAUAUUAGUACAUGAUUACUAAUGCACAUUAUAGUUUUGGGGCAAGAGUGCGAAGGUCCGGCCUCCUGGGAGACGUAUCAUACGCUGUGCAAGAUCCAUUGACCGGUUCUAUAUAAGCGUUGCGACAUCCGAAUCCUGAGCGGAAGUUCUCUGAAGCUUCGAUCAACUACGCCAACCUCGGAGAUUGUUCACCGUCUUAUUCUUUAUAUUAAAGUAUAAAGGGGGUGCUGUUUUCGAGGGUAGUAAUUUAUCCUAGUACUGAUAAACGACAGCAGCUGCUUCAUCUGUUGUUGUACUAAUCAGAUUCCAAAGAAAGAAAUUAUAAAAUCGCAUGGUUUCUGACCACAUAGGUUGUCCGUGAAAAUCAACGAGUCUUGUCGUGGGCCUCAUUGUUUGAAAAUAGAAAGGUGGAUUUUCACGUGUGUAUCUCUUCGUCUUCUGUCCUCCAUUUUCUUUAAAUGAAUUUUCUACAUGCA